CCCAUGCCAACCGGAGGGGCUCGAUCAAGGCACAGAUUAUGUCUCUCCUGUCUUCUCCACCUCCCACCCUACUUUCUCUUCCUCCCUGGCUUAGGAGCUCGGUGCCGUCCGCCUCCAUGGAUGUCCGACCCUCAUCUCAUAUUCUCCCAAACCCAGUGUGCAGCACUUCUUGUAUUUUAUCAUAACUGGGUGCUUAGCGCUGGCUGCCAUGGUCAGAGACAACAGGCUGAUGUUUUGCUGCUGGCUCAUUUACACAAUGCAGUCGGUCACCAUCUUCACCUGCCCUGACACAGAGGUGGGCACUGUCACACCAGGACUGACAGUGAAAGAGCACAGAGCCAAAAGCUAUGGAAACUAGGUGCAGAGCACGCUCUCCACUUUCUCUUGUCCCAAAACAAGAACAGAAAGCCCAGGGCACAUUUUGAUGAUUCUAGAUACAAGCUUCCUUAAUGGGAGAAACAUGACACGUACAACUUGCUCAGUGUUUAUAAAUUUCUAUUGGAGACUCUCCUUUCAUAUGUUCCUAAGGUAAAAGCGAGGGCUCUAAAUACAUAAAUUAGUGAUACCACUUAAUUCACACUUUUAAGAGAAAGUUGUAACCUCAUUAUGCAGCAUGCUGGUAAAAACAUAAGAACUAAAGCGCUCUUUCUAACUUCAUGUUCUUUCUUUCACUUCAAUGCAAUGUAUGAUGAACACUGUAGAAAAUACUCAGAUAACAGGAUGGAGCAAGGCCCCAUUGUAAGUCAUGGACCCCACUUUUCCCUGAGGGUGCAGAAAGCUUGAAGCUUCGGGUGCCACUGAGAGUUCGCCAGCAGUUUGUAGAAGAAAGACCUCUGGAGAGGAAGAGGAGAGGACAUAAAAGGCCUCAAAACGCCCCUUCCCAAGUGGAAGAUUCUUUCUGCCCAUCCACAGUCCCAGCUGAAGGAGGAGACACCAGAGGCCAGUUUCGACUACAGACUUGACCCAAAAAUGACAAAGGUCUAGCAUUCUGAAGUCGCAAAUCCAAAAUGAUUCAGUAGGGCAAUGCCAAGGAACUGAAAGUGCGCCCCACUAGAGGCCCCGAGAUCACCUGUCGCCCAGCCUCUCAGAUUCGGGAGCAAAGUUUUUUGCUUUGUUGGUCCCAGCCCUUCCUGUACCUUCAAGACCAGUGGUGCAGCACCCUCGCCGCCAGCUCUCUGUCCAUCACUCGGCCUUCGACUCUGCUCUUCCUUCUGAAUCACAUCUUCCUUUGCUGCUCUCUUCUAUAUCUCUGGGUACGUUUAAGACCCACCUGGAGCAUCCAGGAUACUCUUCCCAACCCAAGAUCCUGGAUCUCACCUCAUCUGGAAAGAAGUGUCUUCCCUAGAAGGCACCCUUCAUAAAGGACUGGUCCUGGACCUCUUUGGGAGAUGUUUGCUCACCAACCACACUAAAACUUUCUGAUUCUGGUUCUCAUUGAACUCAACCACUCGCUCAACCUUGUGGGGUCAGCAGCACCCUUGUCUCCCUUCCACUAUGGAGGACCCUGGAAGGGCUCCAGCCAAUCUUGCUUUGUGUUUCUACUGUACUUGAGGCUCCUGGGGCUACAGGAGAGGAGGGUCAGGUUACAAACUGAAGGGGAACAGUCAUGGCAAA